UUGAAAAUCUUUGCAGAUGAAUUCUGUGGCUGAUCUCCAGACUGAACAGGUGAAGUUACAUCCCUGCAUCGUGAGACUGAAGCAGCACAUACUGCACUGGUGGAUUUACUUCUUGUCCACAUCAAAAUGCAGAGACUGCUCCAUUCAUCAGGUCCAUGGCAUACAAAGGAGAUGUUAUCAACAUGUAUCUUGUGUCCUAGCAAGGAAAACUGAGAAUCAGCAGAAGCAUUCAGGCAAACAGGAACAGAUGCCUGAAAGAUCUCAUAUCAGCAGCAGGUGGAAUGGCUUGUAGGUAAAAUACCUGUAAAUGAAGCCUCUUCCCAACAGUCCCAGGUAUGCACUGCAGAAGCUGCUGCGAAGGACAGAAGCAUCAGCACCAUUCACCUUGUGUUUUCUUGUCCUUGUAUUCAAGAAAAAAUGUGCCUAUAAUUAGAAAGCAGAAUUAGUACUGAAACAAUUUUCACAUCACUGGUCCUUCAGCCUCCUCAGAUAUUAUUUGUGGUAUCUGCUUUCAUGCAAGAGGAUGGGGCCAAAUAAAAGCAAUCACAAGGGUGGAAAUGUUCUCAGCAGGAGGAAAAGGGAUUAUCAAAAAGCAGAGGAAAAAGAUUUCUGAACGUUUUGUAGUCCUGGGCAUCCAUAUGCCAUUUGAGCUAUGUAGAGAGUUAACAGAUAGCUCUAAAAAUAAAGAAUGCAUUAUUUAUUAACUUGUUAGAGCUUUCAGAAAAUAGGAGCUGAAUUCACCUGGCUAAUAAGCUACCUCAGAUCACGUCCAUUGAAAGAUACAUGCAUAUGAAUUGCAUGAACUGUGCGUUUGGUCUUUACGAGGCCAUUCAGGAACCUAAAGUUAUUUUUUCUUCUAGGAAAAAUACACGGAAUAGUUCAGCUUUUGAAUAUUUUAUAAAGUCUGUAUGCCAUUCUAUAUCUGCCCCUGCCCAUGAUUCUCCCUACGUAAGUGCGUGUAAUUCCAAUUUUAUUUCAGAACAAGAUUUGUUUGUAGUCCAAAGGAUGCGAUAUCACAGAGGAGAUUAAAGCAAGAAAACAUGCUGUUGAGAACAUAGCAUGAAGGCUAUUUUUUGGGGUCUCAUGUCCUUCCAGCCCUAUACGAUGAGCAGAACAAACCAGUGAAUGUACCAGGAUGUUAAGAGUUUACAGUUUUGACAGCCUGGACCUGCUCUUUCAGAGCACAUUCUCAUGCAACUUGCAUUCAUAUUCUUGUCUCUGUCCAGCUAUGCUGAAUGGGGGGAGAUUAGCAAGAUGGGCUAGAGUGCUGCAAUGGUGUCUUGUGCUGUGGUCAGAUGUCUUUUGCAGUCCAAGGAAGGAGCUUCAUGGGUUGAUGAAGAGGUCUUGUCUGUUCCCACAUUGCUCAGAAGGACAUAGGCCAGGUUCAGAAGCGAGACUUCUUAAAUAUUUUCAUAAUCUUUGCAUUAACUAGCAAAGUGAGAACUACUCUCUGUUAAAAGUCAUUUCAUCAACAUAAAUGGAGGUUAUCUCAAAGGAAACAGGUGUUGAGGACUUCAGAGCCUGUGCUGCCCUUUCUGGGCUGUUAGGCUGGAUAAUCCUGGAAAAGGCUCUCCUUUGGUCCACGGCAAAUUCAGAGUAGGAGCUCAGGCGUUAUGGUCUUCCAUGGGUAUUGAGGAAAGCUCCGCUCUCACCCUUCUCCCAUGCUCCAGCCAUUCAUUUCCCUGACCCUGGUGACAGCCAUCCCUGCUCUGCACACCAGGGCCAACUCAGGACAAACCAGUUGUAUGCCAGCCCUGCCAGAUAUCAUGGAGGUGGAGGGCAGAGGAGGAGAAAGGAUGCAUCAGAAUCAUGGAGAUCAUCUUCUGCAAAGGAAAAAUCCUCAAUGAAGAAGGAAGCCCACAAACCAUAUAAAAGUUUAUUUGAUGACUAAGUAAGGAAGGAAAAAAAUAUAUAUGUUCUCCACAGCUCUUGUUUUCAAUACAUGCAUUACGUAUUAUUUAUUUACAUAAUUACCCAUUGCCUACUGCUAUAGCUUUUUAUUUGCAACCUCACUUGGAAAACUACACCGUGUGUUGGCCUAAGCACCCAGUCUGAAUGCAGAAGUGGUG
ensembl:lncRNA